GGCAGGACGGUGACUGAAGGGCAGGGGGUGUUUCUCCUUGCUCUGAGGUGCGUCCCAAGGACGCUGCUUCCCUCCCUCCUUCCUUCCCGGUUGCUCUCCCGAGGGAGAGCUUUCCCCUGCAGCAGGGUUCGCUGUGGAGGUGCCUGUUCCUGGCUGGCCGUUGGCGUGCUGGAAGCCCUUUGGCUUUGUGGAGGGGGGCCGUCCUGAGACGGGCAGGUGGGCAGCGGGGAGAUGACUCUGAAGGGGCUGAUGCAGCUCUGUUGUUUUAACUGAAUCUCUUAGGUGGAAAAGAGCCUGGAUGUGGCCCUCGGCUAUGGGCUGUGGAGAAACAUGGAGGAGGCUGGCGCGGGUCCCUCAUCGGGACACGUGCGUCCCCCCGCUGGGACACUGCGCUCUGCAACCCUUGCUGCUGCCACAGGGCACCCGUGCUGCGGGGCAGGUGGAGUCCUGCAGCGGACGUGGAAACGGGGGAAGGAUGCCAUAACCAGUACCAGAAGGAGAGGACCUUCCAGGAGGCAGUGGAGUGGGAUGAGUGGCUCACCGGUGUCCCUGAAGGAACUAUGUCUUGGAGAGGCAGCCUGGGAGGGCCGGCAGCUUGUCACCUAUUCUGAGCGACUUGUAUGAGAAGUCCAGCAGGUGCAUUUCAGUUGUUUCAGUGGACCCUUGACCAGCUCUACAGGGAACAAGUUGAUCCUCCCUUGUCCUUACUGGGGCAAAACUCCAGCUGAACUCCUGCUUCGUGAGGGACUUCAGGACCCCAUGCCCACAGUAAGGUUAUGGGAAACCUAUUAGCAGUUGUACAACAAUACUCUUGUCUGCUGGCUUUGAUCUCUGGUAUAUUAAAUUAGCAGCCAGGAUGACAUAGUAAUGAUUAGUCUUGAGGGACAGGUUGGCAGACACAGUAAAACAGAAAAGGAAACCUCUGGGAUGGCUUCUGCAUGCUCACUCCAACAGCUAUGCUGUCUUCUCCUCACUCUGUCUCCAUAAUGUUGGGUGUAUUUACACUGUAAGCUAGCGGUGACGCAUGUUUCAGUGCUGUGACAUCCCUGAGCUGCUGCAGUGACGCUCAGGAGCUCCGCUUUUGGAGCCUAGCCACUGCGGUGUGGAGCUCAGCACCCUUCGGCUGUGGUGGAGGCACAAACCUCCUGUGCGUUUCUUUGGGCUGCCAGGCAACGUGGGGAAGAUGCUGCCUUUCUGCAGCCUGGCUUAGAUACCCCCGUGCUGUUCCCAGCCAUGCUGGAGGUGUCUGGGAAGAGGGCCAAAAGUGCUAGCACCUUGUAAUUAAUACCUGGUUUGGCUAUAACCUUCUUGUCUAACAUUAAUGGCUGCAUCCGUAUUAAAACACAUCAAUUGCCCAGUUUAAUUAGGGUUUGUGGUUUUGUGGUCUGUAGCGCAGCCCAUACAUUGCCAGGCUCCCCGAGAAGCAGUGGCGAGCUGGCCUCUCUGGUGGGUGAGGAGGAAAGACUGCGGCUGCCCAUCUGCCCUGGGCAGCCUGGACUCUGGGCAGCUGCCUGCUCAGCCUGUGCCUGGAGCCACUCUUGUUGACAAUUAUUUAAUUUCAGACUAGGAAAAAAUAAUAAAAACUUGUGCCUUAUGCCUGCA
rnacentral:lncRNA from 1 species